CCGACCUUAGCUCAGUUGGUAGAGCGGAAGACUGUAGUAGUUGUAGAAUAUCCUUGGGUCACUGGUUCGAAUCCGGUAUGUCGGG
rfam:Brassica oleracea var. oleracea cultivar TO1000 chromosome C9, whole genome shotgun sequence